rnacentral:lncRNA from 1 species
AACAUAAAAACGCAUUUUUCUUUUAAGUAUAUAUUUACAUAUCCAAAAUAAGAGCAUAAUAAAAAAAACAUUAAAACAUUACAAAAUAUCAAAUGUUCAAAAGAUUUGUAAAAUUAAGGACAUUGGAACAUUAGAACAUCUUGCACAUUUUCUUCCAAUCAAACCCUUCAAGUUUUCUGUGCGGCUGCUCCUUUGGCAGUGUCAAGGGCUUGAAGAUAAAGUUUGAAAGUUAUUAAAUCGAUAAAUUGAGCUUAUUCUUUUCUCUAAGUCAAAAUGGUCAUACACACAGGACAUACCUUAUUUCUUGAAUCCAAAUUAAAAAGAAGCAAUGAGAGACAAAAAAAUUCAAACAAAAUGUAUAAAAAUAAAAUAAAAAUAUAUUACGAUGAGGGAGAUUAAUCCGAAAGAAAUUGGAAUAUGUACAAUUGGCUAAGUAUUUAGUAGGCAUACAAAUUAAAAAGCAAUAAAAGUAUAAAACUGGGGCUUGAAGUUUUGCCAGAAUUCCUCUUCCUAAUAAAUUAUAAUUAAUUCAUAAUUAACCCGAACACUUAAAACAAUUUUCCAAGAUUUAAUUUCUAUCCCUCAUUUUCGUUAGGGUCACAACAAUGAUCUAAAUUAGUACUCUCCAAAGCAGCCACUGCUUUCAGUUCAGUUACAUUUUGUCAUUUCCAUGAAUGGAGGAAUAAAGAGGGAGAAAUACUUACGUAGAGAAAU